rnacentral:rRNA from 1 species
UGAACGUUGGCGGCGUGGAUUAGGCAUGCAAGUCGUGCGUGAUUUUGGUGAUUGAAGCUUCGGCCGAUUGAUCCAAAUGAAAGCGGCGUAAGGGAGAGUAACAGGUAGAUACGUGCCCUUGGGACCAGAAUAGCUACGGGAAACUGUAGGUAAUGCUGGAUAAUAUCUCCGGAUCAAAUGGUGUGAUUCCGCCCAAGGAUCGGUCUGCUUCCUUUUAGCUUGUUGGUGAGGUAAUGGCUUACCAAGGCUGAGAUGGGUACCGGGUGUGAGAGCAUGACCCGGCUCACUGGGACUGAGACACUGCCCAGACAUCUACGGAUGGCUGCAGUCGAGAAUCUUCGGCAAUGGGCGCAAGCCUGACCGAGCGACGCCGCGUGCGGGACGAAGGCCCUCGGGUUGUAAACCGCUGUCAGUUGGGAGGAAAUCUCAUAGGGUUCUCUCUAUGAGUUGACCGAUCUUCAGAGGAAGUACGGGCUAAGUUC